rnacentral:lncRNA from 1 species
AUAGAAAAUAUGUUAUUUUUAGUGAUACAUAUUAUGUCGAACAAGUUUUUAACAUGGGAGGUCAGAUAGUAGAUGAACACCGACUAAAAUAAACCUUAGUGUGCUUUGAUUAACCGAAUAUUUACAACAUGAAUACAUUCAAGAUAAUGAAAAAAUAAUUAUCUUGAAUGCAUAAUACAACAUGAAUGCAUAAUUGUCG